GGUUUUCGGGUCCUGUCGCGCUUCUCACUACUGGAUUGUACAUAGCACAUAUGUACAUUGUUUAACAUUUUUAAAAUUCAGAUAUAUAAGUAACGUCUAUUUGCCAUAACUGAGUAGGUACCAGUCCUAGAGGAUUAACUCCUAGAGGAUUAACACCUUUGUGUGAUACAGGAAGAAAUUGAGGACACUGAUGAAAGUCUUUACAAUUUGACAUGCACAUUCUCAAGAAAUACCAAAUUGUUGUCUCAACCUAUUGCUUUUUAAUGAUGUAAAGAAAGAGAGUGUUUGGCUGAACUAUUCCUGUGUAAUGCCUAUACUCUGCCUGAUAUGCAAACCUGCUGCAGCAUUGCCCUCAUUAAGGGGUCUGGGCAAUCCACUAGGAGCUUUUAAAUGUAAGGUGUAUGCCACCACUGCCAGGUUGAUGCUCUAUUUUGCCCCUGACAACCAUAUAAAAGCUUGCCGAACAGGCACGCGGGUCACCACCUCUCCUUAGGGUCUGGGAUGACCCCAGUUUAGUGGAACAAUAAAUUCCUCUUGCUUUUUCCAUUGAUUCCAGCCCCACAUGGUUCACUCACAGGUCCCCAGUAAGCUAAGGCUCCCGGGAGUCUUACAACCCAACAAGAAGACCAACAGUCUCAAGAAACCUUGACCUUGGAAAUCUCUCAGACUCUGAGCCAGCAACCAGGCAGCAUACACUUGUUGGUCCAAGGUCCCCAACAUAUAUACAGAGGAGAACUGCCUGGCCCGGACUCAGGGAGGGAAGACACACCUAAUCCUUGAGAGACUUGAAGUCCCAAGGAUUGGGGAGGCCUGGCAGGAUGUUGUUGAAUGGUUGUGGGUGUGAGGACACCCUCAUGGAGAUGUACAUAGGGGUCGGGAUAUGGGAUGAGAAACUGUAAGUGGUUGGAAUGGGGGGGUGAUAAUGACUGGAGUAUAAUU
rnacentral:lncRNA from 1 species